rnacentral:lncRNA from 1 species
CAAGGGUGGCUGGAGGCUGCCUGAAGUCUGGCUCAGCCCAGGGGAAAGGGAUGAGCAGGGCCUCACCAGGACAUGGAGGGAGGAUCCCCUGUGAUCCAGAGAAGGCCAUAGGGUACUUACCCCCACCUGUGCCAAUCCCCCUGAAAGAUUUUCCCCACGCACAGUAAAAGGAAAGGCUCUCAAAGCAACCCGGGGGACCACAGCAGGGGUGAUGGGAACCCUUUCUAGGGCGGUUGUCUGCUGUCUUCAUAGGCAGGAAGCCACUUCCUGUGGCCCCAACGGUGCCCUGUGAAAAGCCAGGCCCUGGCCCAGCAGCCAAGAGGGCCAGGAUGGGUUCCCCCAGACCCAUUGUCCUAAGAGCAGAUUUGUGUUUUUCAGAGCAACUCUUCACAGCUUCUCCUCUUUCCUAGGUGACAGUGACAGCCAGCGAUGGGCAGGCAGCUUACUCCCAGCCUGGCCUGAGUCUGUGGCCCCAGCGUGAGAUUACUGCAGUGAGUUCUGACCUCAGCAUUGCCAUGGGGAUGCUCGGAUGCCAGGUUGCCAGCAGCAGUACCUUUUCACCCGGGGGAGUGGGAGGGAACCGUGGCUGAUGCUGACUGCCUAUGAUGUGGCCUGCUCUUGCCUGCUGGGGCUGUUUGUCCCCAGACAUAUGUUCCAGAUCUCAGCUAAGUGGGGUGGGCCAGGGGACUCACUCAGGACCUGCGGGCUCUAUUGUGUGUCUGUGUGUUUGGGGUGUGGCGAGAGGUGUUUAUUAGACCUCAUGGGGAGCCUCAUUUUCAUGCCUCCCUGGGCUGACCUGGGCUGCUGAUCACGUGCUCCUAAUGGGCCUCAGAUUGACAUUUGCAGCAACCUGGUCUCCAUAGCAACCAGCUGUGACAUCACAAAGAACCCACAGAGUGGAGGAAGCUUAAAUGCCUGUUUGGGGGAGACAGAGCCUUUGGUCCCUCUCCUUAGGCCCCUCCUGUGAUAGUCGAAGAGGCCUAGGAACGCUGAGAGAGCCAUGGCCUCCGCUUCUCUGGAGCCUGCUUAUCUUGAGAGAGCAUGACAGCCUCAGCAGAAUGGUGUCCAAGACGCAGGGGAGAGAAAGAUUGAUUUGGCCCGGUGGGACGGUCCAGCAAAGCUUCCCAGAGCAGAUGAAGAAACCAAGUUGCCCAAGAUCACACAGCAAGAGGAGGCUCCGGCUCAAGCGCUUACUGCAAGUGCAGGGCCUCUGUCCUGGGCUGCCCUCUCUACCUCCUGCUGACCAGCCAGCUCCAGCCCAGGUCAUUCAGAGAGACACCACAAAGGCUGCACCUGCAGAUGCCACCCAGGUCCAUCCUCUGGUCCCCUGA